GAUGAACGCUGGCGGCGUGCCUAAUACAUGCAAGUCGAGCGAACGGACGAGAAGCUUGCUUCUCUGAUGUUAGCGGCGGACGGGUGAGUAACACGUGGAUAACCUACCUAUAAGACUGGGAGAACUUCGGGAAACCGGAGCUAAUACCGGAUAAUAUUUUGAACCGCAUGGUUCAAAAGUGAAAGACGGUCUUGCUGUCACUUAUAGAUGGAUCCGCGCUGCAUUAGCUAGUUGGUAAGGUAACGGCUUACCAAGGCAACGAUGCGUAGCCGACCUGAGAGGGUGAUCGGCCACACUGGAACUGAGACACGGUCCAGACUCCUACGGGAGGCAGCAGUAGGGAAUCUUCCGCAAUGGGCGAAAGCCUGACGGAGCAACGCCGCGUGAGUGAUGAAGGUCUUCGGAUCGUAAAACUCUGUUAUUAGGGAAGAACAUAUGUGUAAGUAACUGUGCACAUCUUGACGGUACCUAAUCAGAAAGCCACGGCUAACUACGUG
rnacentral:rRNA from 1 species